UACGAAGGGUGCGAGCGUUAUUCGAAAUUACUGGGCGUAAAGGGUGCGUAGACGGUAUGUUAAGUUUGUUGUUAAAGACUUUGGCCUAACUGGAGGGUUGCAAUGAAAACUGGCGUACUAGAGGGUGAGAGAGAGAAGUGGAAUUCCCGGUGUAGCGGUAAAAUGCGUAGAUCUCGGGAGGAACACCAAUGGCGAAGGCAGCUUCUUGGCUCAAUUCUGACGUUGAGGCGCGAAAGCGUGGGGAGCAAACAGG
rnacentral:rRNA from 1 species